GAUGAAGAACGCAGCGAAACGCGAUAAGUAGUGUGAAUUGCAGAAUUCAGUGAAUCAUCGAAUCUUUGAACGCACAUUGCGCCCCUUGGUAUUCCAUGGGGCAUGCCUGUUCGAGCGUCAUUUGUACCUUCAAGCUUUGCUUGGUGUUGGGUGUUUGUCCAUUCUCUUGCAGAGGGACUCGCCUUAAAGUAAUUGGCAGCCAGUGUUUUGGUUUUGAAGCGCAGCACAAGUCGCGAUUCAACGCUAUACGCCAGCUUCCACAAGCCUUUUUCACUUUUGACCUCGGAUCAGGUAGGGAUACCCGCUGAACUUAAGCAUAUCAAUAAGCGGAGGA
rnacentral:misc_RNA from 1 species